GUGGUAGCUCAGUGGUAGAGCGCACCCUUGGUAAGGGUGAGGUCGGGAGUUCAAUCCUCCCUC
rnacentral:tRNA from 1 species